AUGCCUUACCAUGCAAGUCGAACGGCAUCGCGGGGCAACCUGGCGGCGAGUGGCGAACGGGUGAGUAAUAUAUCGGAACGUGCCCUGGAGUGGGGGAUAACGCAGCGAAAGUUGCGCUAAUACCGCAUACGAUCUAAGGAUGAAAGCAGGGGACCGCAAGGCCUUGUGCUCCUGGAGCGGCCGAUAUCUGAUUAGCUAGUUGGUGGGGUAAAGGCCUACCAAGGCAUCGAUCAGUAGCUGGUCUGAGAGGACGACCAGCCACACUGGAACUGAGACACGGUCCAGACUCCUACGGGAGGCAGCAGUGGGGAAUUUUGGACAAUGGGCGCAAGCCUGAUCCAGCAAUGCCGCGUGAGUGAAGAAGGCCUUCGGGUUGUAAAGCUCUUUUGUCAGGGAAGAGACGGUGGGGGCUAAUAUCCCCUGCUAAUGACGGUACCUGAAGAAUAAGCACCGGCUACUACGUGCCUGCAGCCGCGGUAAUACGUAGGGUGCAAGCGUUAAUCGGAAUUACUGGGCGUAAAGCGUGCGCAGGCGAUUUUGUAAGUCUGUCGUGAAAUCCCCGGGCUCAACCUGGGAAUUGCGAUGGAGACUGCAAGGCUAGAAUCUGGCAGAGGGGGGUAGAAUUCCACGUGUAGCAGUGAAAUGCGUAGAGAUGUGGAGGAACACCGAUGGCGAAGGCAGCCCCCUGGGUC
rnacentral:rRNA from 1 species